UCGGCGGGUGACUGAAAACAUCCUGUAAAAAACGCUGCCAACACCAUCUCGCUUCUCGAUCAGAUCUGUGCUACAGUGUAACAUCACCGGCCCCGAUCAUGCCGACUGGAACUGGUCUUGGGAAUAAAGCAGCUUAUUUUUGUCUCAUCUUUCUGUAUUGCGUACCUGUUAUUGCUGCUGCAAAAUAUAUCAAAGAAGACAACCAUUCACAGGUUCAGGGGGACAGUGAUGAGCGCAGUAAGAGAUUAUUAGGUAAGUCUUGUGAAAGUGCCCUGUCUUUCUGUAGACUGGUUUUACUUUUACUUAGUUAUUAACACAAAAGUGGAUAGUCCUCUAGGUGAUGUCAUUCAAAGUACUGUUAUUAAUUUGUUCUGGUAUUUACAGUAUGCAGUUUAUUAUGUUAUU